UCAGGACGAACGCUGGCGGCGUGCCUAAUACAUGCAAGUCGUACGCUUCUUUUUCCACCGGAGCUUGCUCCACCGGAAAAAGAGGAGUGGCGAACGGGUGAGUAACACGUGGGUAACCUGCCCAUCAGAAGGGGAUAACACUUGGAAACAGGUGCUAAUACCGUAUAACAAUCGAAACCGCAUGGUUUUGAUUUGAAAGGCGCUUUCGGGUGUCGCUGAUGGAUGGACCCGCGGUGCAUUAGCUAGUUGGUGAGGUAACGGCUCACCAAGGCCACGAUGCAUAGCCGACCUGAGAGGGUGAUCGGCCACAUUGGGACUGAGACACGGCCCAAACUCCUACGGGAGGCAGCAGUAGGGAAUCUUCGGCAAUGGACGAAAGUCUGACCGAGCAACGCCGCGUGAGUGAAGAAGGUUUUCGGAUCGUAAAACUCUGUUGUUAGAGAAGAACAAGGAUGAGAGUAACUGUUCAUCCCUUGACGGUAUCUAACCAGAAAGCCACGGCUAACUACGUGCCAGCAGCCGCGGUAAUACGUAGGUGGCAAGCGUUGUCCGGAUUUAUUGGGCGUAAAGCGAGCGCAGGCGGUUUCUUAAGUCUGAUGUGAAAGCCCCCGGCUCAACCGGGGAGGGUCAUUGGAAACUGGGAGACUUGAGUGCAGAAGAGGAGAGUGGAAUUCCAUGUGUAGCGGUGAAAUGCGUAGAUAUAUGGAGGAA
rnacentral:rRNA from 1 species